rnacentral:lncRNA from 1 species
UGUGCGUGUGUGUGUGUAUAUAUACAUACAUACAUACACACACGCACACACACGUGUGUGUUUGUCCCCUCCCCCAUCGCUUGACAAACAUUGUUGGUGUGUUUCCACAGAUCACAUGUUACUUGUGACUAUUAUCCUCAGGCAUAGGAUGAUUACCAUAUCCCUUGCAAUAUCCAUGGAUAUUAUUGUGUGUUGUUAUUCAUGCUUUCAUUUCUUCAGGUGAUAUAUAACCUGAUGAAAUGAACGCACCAGUGAAAUGAACGUAUGAGUAAUGACUCACCUUAAUAUCCAUGGAUAUUACAAAUUAUAUUGUAAUCAUCCAACGGAGGCAGAUUAUAGUCACAAACAACAUGGGAUAUAUGGAAACGCGCGUAGCGAUGCAUUAAAGUAUUUAUGAAAUUACAUCCUUAGAUUAUUAUUAUUAUUAUUACUAUAUAUAUAUAGGCAUAUAUAUAUACAUACACAUACACACACACAUAUAUAUGCUCAUAUAUACACACACAUGUAUAUGUAUAUAUUUAUAUACAUACAUACUAACAUAUAUAUUAUAUAUAUAUACUCAUACACACACAUAUAUAUGUACGUAUAUAUAUAUAUAUAUAUAUAUAUAUAUAUAUACAUGCACACACACAAACAUAUGUAUAAAUACAUACAUACAUACAUACAUACACACACACGCACACACACACAUAUAUAUACGUGUGUGUGUGCAUCAACAAAUUCACCGACAAAAUCUGAUUUAAGAAGGGGGAAAGUAUGUAAAGCACUUCUAGAAGAUAAAGCUUCUAAGACCGAAGUGACCGACUGAUCGAUGAGAUCAUAUUAACGAUCGAUCUGAUUUGGCCGAUACCCUGUCUAAACAUCUGCACGUGAAUAAUUGCACGAAAAACAUGAAGUGGAAGGAAACUGAGGUCUUGUCUAAAUGCUAGCAACGAGGGAAGGCUCUGCUAAAGACAAAUGGAGACCUGUUAAUGGUUUUAAAUUAAAACCUGUGUUAUCGUGGAUCUAUUUAAAAUCCUGUUUAUGAGUUUUCAAAUAAAUAAUUCGGCUGUGUAUUUAUGCUUUCAAGUAAAUUUUUCUCCACUUGAAAUUGUUGCUAUU